CUCCUACGGGAGGCAGCAGUAGGGAAUAUUGCGCAAUGGGGGAAACCCUGACGCAGCAACGCCGCGUGAGUGAGGAAGGUCUUCGGAUUGUAAAACUCUUUUCUUAGAGAAAAAUGUCUUGGCGGUUAAUACCCGUUAAGAGUGAUGGUAUCUAAGGAAUAAGCACCGGCUAACUUCGUGCCAGCAGCCGCGGUAAU
rnacentral:rRNA from 1 species